AAUCAACGCUGGCGGCGUGCCUCAGACAUGCAAGUCGAACGCGAAAGUUCCCUUCGGGGAGCAAGUAGAGUGGCGCACGGGUGAGUAACACGUAGGUAAUUUGCCUUCGGGUGGGGAAUAACAGUCGGAAACGACUGCUAAUACCGCAUAAUGCAGCGGCUCGACAUCGAGACAGUUGUUAAAGCGGGGGAUCCUUCGGGACCUCGCGCCUGAAGAGAAGCCUGCGGCAGAUUAGCUAGUUGGUGAGGUAAUGGCCCACCAAGGCUACGAUCUGUAACCGGCCUGAGAGGGCGGUCGGUCACACUGACACUGACAUACGGGUCAGACUCCUACGGGAGGCAGCAGUCGGGAA
rnacentral:rRNA from 1 species